GAUGAGGUUGCCGAGUGGUUAAGGCGAUGGACUGCUAAUCCAUUGGGCUAUGCCCGCGUACGUUCGAAUCCCAUCCUGGUCG
rnacentral:tRNA from 1 species